ensembl:snoRNA
CCGAUACAGUGAUGAUAACAUAGUUCAGCAGACUUGUCCUGAUGAACAAUCUUAAGUCUUUCGCUCCUAUCUGAUGUAUCUG